GGUGGCUCAGUGGUAGAGUGCUUGCUUUGCAUGCAUGAAGCCCUGGGUUCGAUUCCUCAGCACCA
rfam:Dipodomys ordii contig_13026, whole genome shotgun sequence.